rnacentral:lncRNA from 1 species
UGAACACAGACAUUCAGUUCACAGCACUAUUGUAUUGGGUGCCAUGUUCGACACUUGGCAUAGAUUAUCUCAUUUAUGCCUACAAGUCUGACGAAAGGCCCAUAGGUUUCAUCAAAGAAAGUCAGGACUAUCUGGAAUGGAUAAUUGGUCCCAAAUAGUGGAAGAAAGAAAGAAAGAAAGAAAGAAAGAAGAAAGAAAGAAAACAACAUGAAUAAUUCUAGUAAAAUGUGCUCAUAUUAAAGAGGGAAAUUAAGGCCCAGAGAACUGAAAUUGUCUGCGGUUAUAGCAGCAGAGAAAAGACUUAAAGCCAUAUCCUCUAGGGACCACUUUUGCUUGUAUUGUAUACUUCAAGAUCAGUUCAGGUCCUGCUUCCUCUAGAAAACCUUGUGGAGAAACUUCACUCUCUACAGUUCAAUCCCCUGCCUUGCUUUACCUGUUACCCCUUCUAUACAUCUUAUCACUUGAUUCCACUGAAGGCAGCCCUUUUGACAUUCCAUUUUGUGGUGUUCCCAUCUGAGCUCAAUGCCUGGUAUAUAAAAAAUAAGUGCUUGUUGAGAAGUGAAAAGCAAAUGUCUUCCAAUUUUUAAUACAUGUGAGUAUCACCUCCUGAACAAAAGGAAAGGCACCUGCCUUUGUUUUUUGUUUGCGUUUAUACAAUUUAUAAAUGCACCACAGGCACAUAGUAGGUGUUCAAUGAAGAUGUAUUCAAUAUAAUUGAAUUUCCUGGUAGCUGAACAACUAGGCAGAUGGGUGGAGAGAUAUAAAUUAGUAAAGCAGAUUUAAACCAUGUGUUGAUCAUUGAAAAGUUGUUUCAUUUUCAGCCAAGAUAAAUGCUUUUUUAAUGUGUAAAGAAAUCUAUAAUUUUCUAUGCUUUGAAUUAAAGCUCCCACUUCCCAGGUUUCCUGCCUGCUUCUGGCUGCUCUUAAUGAGCUAAUUUACCCCACCGAGGUGAGAGAUUUCCUCUUGGGAAAGGGUUUAGAUGUGCCUCUCUCAUAUCCAGGGCCCCAGAGCGUUUCCUUACAGGGCUUUAAACACUCUGCCCGUAUUUAAGAGAGAAGCCAAGGAACAAAUCUGUUGUUUUAGCUUUAUUCCUUGAGGCUCAGCGGCUCGACUUUCCUUCCCCUUUGAUCGCUCUCACUGGAGUGGCAGGCCUGGAAACUGCGGAGAAGGGGUAGGUCUCCUUAGGAAGCCCAGUUCAGGGGACCCACCCAGCUCCACACAAUGAAAAUAAAGUUGUCAAGCCUUUGAGGUGGCUGUGAAGAUUUAUUCUUCCUGGGCAAAUUGGUGAGACAUUUAUAUUUUUAAAAAAUGCUUUGAUGAACUUGAUAAGGAAGCCCUCGUUUGAAUGUGGAAAAACAUUCUAGAGCUUUUUCCACUGCUACACAGGGUUUUUAGCUUUAACCUGUGAAAAUGGACUGGGUUUUGACCUGGGUUUUAGCUUGACCUGUGGAAAUGGACUUGCCCUUCAGAUGAAUGACGAGACUGUAAGGGGUUCAUUUGGGGAUUGCAGGACACAGGUUUACCCUGUCUUAGAAUAUAAGCAUCCAUGAGGCAGGAGGUCUUAAAAACCUUUUGCAGAUCUUGACAUCUUAUCUACACAUUUCCUAGUCCUCAGCUGCCAACCAAAAUCUCCCAAUUGCUCUAUUACAGCUCAAUGACUUACAUCACCAAGUAUGGUUCCAUUACUUCUACCAGCUGAAGCAAUGGAAUAUGCAAUAUUUUAUUAUGCAUAUAAUUGAAAUACUUUCUGUUCUUUCUAAGUUCGAAUAUUGUUUGUGUCACAUAUUGUUCUGAGCAUGCCUUGGUCACAGUCAGGUCUCGAGGGACCUAGGGAAGGAAGUGGAAGCUGGUGUGAAAUAUCCUUCUCUUGCAUUCCAGAAAGUCAUUUUAGCCAGGAACAUCUGCCAACAGCUCUGAGAUGGUGCUCUUAACAUCCCUGUGUUAUGCAGACCAUUAUGAAUGGCUCUGAAAAGACUGAGUGCUCGGCCAAAAAAAAAAAAAAAAAAAAAAAGAAGACAUGGA